rnacentral:rRNA from 1 species
UACGAAGGGGGCUAGCGUUGUUCGGAAUUACUGGGCGUAAAGCGCACGUAGGCGGGUAUUUAAGUCAGGGGUGAAAUCCCAGAGCUCAACUCUGGAACUGCCUUUGAUACUGGGUACCUAGAGUAUGGAAGAGGUGAGUGGAAUUCCGAGUGUAGAGGUGAAAUUCGUAGAUAUUCGGAGGAACACCAGUGGCGAAGGCGGCUCACUGGUCCAUUACUGACGCUGAGGCGCGAAAGCGUGGGGAGCAAACAGG